UUUUUUUGUAAAUGCAGCUGCAGAGACUUCCUUUUUAUUAAGCUUUAUCUAGUACAGAGAGGGGUUGCACAGGGCAGAGAGUGAUGGGCGCCGUCAUUUGAAAGAAAACAUUUGCAGUCGCUGCUAAAAGUGUUCUGGUUUCAGAUCCCGUAAUGAAUAGUUCAGUCAAAAGAACAGUCCUUAAUACGUUUCAGCCCGGUAGAGUAAACUGUGGAAACUGAAAAAAAAUAAAAAAAUAAAAUUGCAGCUCUGAACCUCAGCUGCAGCAAGAGCUCAGCAUUGUGUGUGCAGCCCAUAUGCUGCUGCCAGCCGGCUUCUGCAUCAGGAAUCCAGGAGAGCAUCGCUUUGGAGGCUUGCAGGCUGGCUGCAAUAAUAAUAAUAUGGCUUUAUUGCUGUUGUUUCAGGGCAUCGAGAUCAUCUUCCACCCCCUCUUUGCUGUCUCCGAGCUCCUCCCCAGGUUCCUGGGCUGGCAGCCCCGGCUUUCAUCUCAAACUGCAGCUGCUUCACCAUUUCAGGGGAAUUAUGCUGGGCCCUGCAGCAGAGGGCAGCAAAGGAGCAUAGCCCAUGGCUCCCGGCUGGCACCGAUGGUUUCCUGUCCUGCAGUUCACCGCUUUGUUUUCGCCUCCCCAUGAAACAGCAUUCGAGUAACCGAGAGGUUCUGCUGUGGCCAUUCUCCUGAGUCCCUCACAGGAGCCACCAGGUCGCUUUCUCCAUCGUGCCCUCCAUUUGAGGCUCUUGGUGGGUAGGAUAAGACAGGAAGAUGAAGGCUGGUUUGAGAGAUGUCUGGAAAAAGGCAGCACACAGUU